GCGAACCUUCAGAAUUUAAUGGAAUCAGCAUAACUUAUAUGCCGAAGAAAGAUUCGGUUUCCUUUAUUCGUUACACGUUCUGUGACUUCGUUAGUGACCCGUAUUCGGCUUCAUUUGGCCCAAAUUUUGUUCCUAGCAUAAAACUUCGAUUGUUAAAAAUGUACGAUAGAACUUAUUCAGGCUUAUACCGUGUUAACCUUGCUAAACGAAUGCUGCAUAGGUACAGGCGCCAGAAUUUUACAUGAUAAAUAUGUCACUGGAUUACGCGAUGAUGAAUUUAACGAAUUCGAACAACAAUGGAACCACUUAGCAAAUACAAAUGAAGUGGAAUCAAUUAAAUAUUUGUGCGAUUUCCUGAAUUCAACGAAUACAUUCGACGACAACCAGUGUAAGAAAAUUGUUACAGACGUUGACAGUAAAUAGUAAAUCAUUCCGUGUUUGUAUUU